AGUAACACGUGGAUAACCUACCUAUAAGACUGGGAUAACUUCGGGAAACCGGAGCUAAUACCGGAUAAUAUUUUGAACCGCAUGGUUCAAAAGUGAAAGACGGUCUUGCUGUCACUUAUAGAUGGAUCCGCGCUGCAUUAGCUAGUUGGUAAGGUAACGGCUUACCAAGGCAACGAUGCAUAGCCGACCUGAGAGGGUGAUCGGCCACACUUGAACUGAGACACGGUCCAG
rnacentral:rRNA from 1 species